ensembl:lncRNA
GUAGUGAAUAGACGCCAUUUUGCUGCUCAUCAUAUUGGUGUGUGUCUGCAGUCAUUUGGCCCUGAUCAGGCUAUUGAUCAGUGUGUGCAGAGGCCUAACACAGGUGGCUAACAUCGUUGUUGCUGAAAGCAACAAACCUGACCAUUUUUUUUUGUGCAAUCCAAAACAACCUUUUUUUUUUUUUUUUUUUUUCACUUGAAAUUUAGCCAAGAAGCCAUAUCAUCAGCUUUUUCACAUUGCUUUAAUUGACUCACAUCUAGUAGCACCUGAACUUUGCCAGGAGGGAAGACUGUGAAGACUGUAAAACCUCUGGUCUUCAUUUUGCAGCACUGAGAGGUGGCUUGUUCCUUGAGAGUCAACUGUUUUCAUGCUAAAAACACUGGAUUGUCAAACUGUCAAAGUCACUGCUGAAGAAGGCUCUGAAUUUUGAAAGCAGCUUCAGAAAAGAACUUUACAAAAAGUAUAGGAAGUUCCCAACUACCUGACACUUAAUGCUGUGAAACUACUGCUGAGUUCUAAAAUGCAAGCCAACAUCCCAAAUCAAAGCCAAGAUAUGAGUACUACCUGCCUGCCAGGUAUGAAAUUCUAUACUGCGGUGACAGUGUUUCUAAUCAAGAAUUGUUGGACUAAAGAAGCAUCUCUCAUAUUCUCUCCCCCAUUGAGACACUGAAUGGCUGCUCUCAGAUCUCCCCAGAGCCUUCUCCAAGUUGAACAGCCCCAGCUCUCUCAGUCUGUUCUCAUAGGAGAUGUGUUUCAUCCGUUGGAACAUUUGUGUCCCUCCUCUGUUUGUGCACCAGCAGGUCCAUGUCUCUCCUGUACUGAGGACUCCACAGUUGGAUGCAGUACUCCAGGUCCAUGUCUCUCCUGUACUGAGGACUCCAUCGUUGGAUGCAGUACUCCAGCUCUCUCCCAGCAAGGAAAGAGAAUUCUAUAGGCUUCCAUGAAAUAACUAUGGGACGCACGUGUUGCAUCUGGGAGCUGAUGUCUCAAAACAAGAACUGCACCCACUGACAUAAAUUGGUCCCUUAAGAGAAGAAAAAAAAUCCAAGAUGUUGGUCUGGAGACUCAGUGCAGUUCCUUCACUCCCAGCUGGGAUUUGAGCUCAUGUCUCUCAGGACUACCAAGUCAAUACUUCAAAGUAGGUGCAUUAGAGAAAGCAAAGUACAAGUAACAGAUGUGAAGAAAACAAGUGAGAGACUAUGGCUUGAGUGGCUGUGGCUUGGCCUUAGAUGUACAGCAAAUGUCCUCAUGGAUGCAUGAGUGACAUGCAAGGAGGAAGGAACCACCCACGCAGGCACAAAGAUGGAUGCGUUGACUGCUUCGGAGUGGGUUAAUAGUUCCUCUGCAACCCCAGCUUAGAUGCAGGACCUAUGUCCAUGGAUCACAUCCA